AUUUGAAUCACGUGGGGUCUCAUUAAAAUGCAGAUUCUGAUUCGGUGAGUCUGGGAUGCGCCCAAGAGUCUGCAUUUCUAAUGAGCGCCCAGGUGAGUUCUGC
rnacentral:pre_miRNA from 1 species